UUGCCCUGCGAUGCAAUGGCGGCGGCCACU
rnacentral:sRNA from 1 species